UGUUGAUGAUGACAAAUUCAAAGGCUUGUUUCUCAAAAACAUUCGCAGUGGCCGCAUAAGAGCUUUCGCCUUUUGGGCUUGAGAGCUAAUGCUUUCAAUCCUUCCUUGGAUGUCUGAGACA